UCACAUGAGAGAAUUGAUGACGCCACAUGCGAGACCCGCGCAGGCAUGUGUUGCGUGAGCCCUUCCCCUUCCGCCUCCGCGACCUCGUCGCGGCGGGGUCAGAUCAUCGCCCCGGACUCGCCGCCCUCCCUGCGAUCGUACUCCGACGACUCGCCGCCGUCGACGCGGGCCCCGGCCGUCCACCCUGAGGUGGAAUUCGAAGCCAAGCCGGCCAAACGCGCUCGCGUGGUUCCCGGUGGCGGCGGCGGCGGUGGCGGCGCCGAUGCGGCGGCCGGAGACGGCAGGGACCGCAUCAGCGACCUUCCCGACGCCGUCCUUCUGUCGAUCCUCUCUUUCCUCCCCUUCCGGGACGCCGGUCGCACGGCGGUGCUCUCCAGGCGGUGGCGGAAACUGUUCGACGAAUCCCUGCUGGACUUCAACGCGUGCCAGCCGUUCCCGCCGGAGGAAGGCCGCGGCUGCGAGUGGGUCAUCCGCUCCAUCACCGACAUCCUAGCAGCCCGCCCGGACGUCCGCAUCCGCAGCUUCCGCUUCGUCAUGUAUGGGCAGGGGUUCGCGGACCACCUCGCCGACGUCGAUCGCUGGUUCCGCACCCUAGCGCACCGCGGCGUCCGGCAGCUCGACGUCGACAUGCUGUACACGGUCCCGGCACCGCUCCUCCCGGGUUCCAUUCUCGAGUUCUCCUCCCUGGAAAUCCUCAGGGUGUUCAACUGCAACUUCCUCGAUCUUUCCCUGCCGGUGCUUCGGCUCCCCGUCCUCAGGACGCUCGACCUGUCCAACGUCUCCAUGUCCCAGGGCUUCCUGCAGGCUAUGAUGUCCAACUGCCCAUCGCUAGAGUGCACAAAGCUGAAGAACAUCACCGGACUAGACAAGAUAUGCGUCCGAUCGAGGAACCUGGUGCGCCUGUUCGGUGAUUUCAGUUACCUGAAGGAGCUCGUCGUCGAGGACGCCCCCAACCUCGAAGAAUUGGUGGGGAUCGGCCUCCCGCUCGCUGCAGCGAAGGUCAAGAUCGUCUUCGCGCCGAAGCUGCGGGUGCUGGGUUACUUGGGGAAGAGCGUCCGCCCGCUCGUGAUAUAUGACACCGUGUUUGAUGGAGGCAUCGUGCAAUUUAGGACCCUGAUGCGCAGCGUAUAAACUUUGGCUAUUCAGGUGCCCUUCUCAGAGAAGGGGCACACCAUCUUCGUUGCCCAAUUGCUGAAAUGCUUCCCAUGCCUUGAGGCCCUUCAUAUCGAGCCAGACAGCCGGUCAAUUUGCCGGCCGGUCGAUGUUGAAGAGUGGGACACAAUAACAUCUGUCCAGUGCAUUGAACAUUCCAUGAACAAAUUGGUCUUCGAGGAUUUUGGAGGGGAAGACUGCCAAUGGAGGUUUCUGACGUUUCUGCUUGGGAUGGCUAGAGCUCUCAAGGAUAUUGACUUCCACUGUUCAGAAAGCAAAGAUUGGGCAAGUAACCAGAUAGAGCUACUAGCCUAUACAAACAGAGCCUCAGCCGAUGUCAGGUUCCAUUUUUACAGAUUCAGUAGUUGGCCGGUCAGUAGCCUAUACCUGUGCCAUUGCUGCCCCCAGCGAUGCCAAAAGGAAGAGAGAAUUGCUCUCAUAUAAUUUGUAUAUAUAAGCUAUUGACGUUUUAUAGGUCUGAAACUGUGUGAGACUGAGAGUAGUUCAAUUGUUCAAAGCAGCACAAAGAACAAGUGGCGAUGUUCCUUUGUCGAUUGUGGGUUAAUCCGUAGUGUUGUCUGAAAGUUUCUGACGCCAUUCAGUGGCUGCAUAAGUUAUGUGAUUCUUGUGUCUGAA